rnacentral:rRNA from 1 species
AUUGAACGCUGGCGGCAUGCUUUACACAUGCAAGUCGAACGGUAACAGGCCGCAAGGUGCUGACGAGUGGCGAACGGGUGAGUAAUGCAUCGGAACGUGCCCAGUCGUGGGGGAUAACUACUCGAAAGAGUAGCUAAUACCGCAUACGAUCUAUGGAUGAAAGCGGGGGACCGUAAGGCCUCGCGCGAUUGGAGCGGCCGAUGUCAGAUUAGGUAGUUGGUGGGGUAAAGGCUCACCAAGCCAACGAUCUGUAGCUGGUCUGAGAGGACAACCAGCCACACUGGGACUGAGACACGGCCCAGACUCCUACGGGAGGCAGCAGUGGGGAAUUUUGGACAAUGGGCGCAAGCCUGAUCCAGCAAUGUCGCGUGCAGGAAGAAGGCCUUCGGGUUGUAAACUGCUUUUGUACGGAACGAAACGGCUCUGGUUAAUACCCGGGGCUAAUGACGGUACCGGAAGAAUAAGCACCGGCUAACUACGUG